CCUAUAGGAUACAAAAUGAAAGAAUUAUGGCCGGCAUUUGCUCAUGUACAAUCAAUAGCUACUUACGCUAAAAGACUCGAAAGCUGUUGAAGAUCAGAUACGGAAAGAACUUUGGGCCAGCAUCAGCUGCGGGUCUAGAGUGACGCAUGACACGUGACGCAAAGGAAGAACACGUGACGCAAAGGACGAACGGCUUUGAUAAGGGACAAAGUCAUACCCCAGAAAGAUGAACACAGCAAUACAAAGCGAUGCAAUGUUCUACACUGUGAAUGUAAAAGACGAGAAGAUCCAGAUAUGGGCAAAGGAGGAGGAGGUAGUACACAACACGAAAGCAUAUGGCUGUGUGAAUGGUAAAUGGUGGGAUUAUGCCAGGUGGCUAAAAAUAGGUUUAUGUGAUGGGGGGGUGGGGGGGGCUGUGCAGGGUGCAGGGGCUGGUGUUGCUCUUGAGAGAGAUUAGGAGAGGGAGAAAUACUUUGAGGAUUCUCUGGUAUUUUGUAAAUACAGCACACACGUGGAUGUGUUUUGUGAGCAUAUCUCACACGAAUCGCUUUUCAAUUACACUGCGAUCCACUCAUCAUGCAACACACUGCGUCCUGGUAAUACUGAUGUCAGCACUGACAUAUUCAUUAAGUUGAGAGACAGUCUGAUAUCCCAGCCAGUAUGUGCCAUUUUCUGUUAAUGCAUGUGGCACAAGAGAAGAGGUGUGACGAUAUCGUUGAGCGGUACAGAGAUGUUAUAACAAUGUAAUGGCUUCCUUCUGGUCAUUUCACCCCAACCCAUGAACAGUCUUCUUUUAAAUUAAAAAUAUAUUUAUAAAUAGCCAUGGGUGUCUAUACUUCUUCCAGAAUUGGCAGUGGUGUUGAUGCAUGAAUAAGCCUGUGGUUGCUGACAAAUGGCCAUUCCAAACUAGGGUGGGAAUUGGACGUGCUCAGGCCCCAUGUUAGGUGCCAAAUAUUUUAAGAAAAAAAUAUUUAUAUUCUUUACUAUGUAAGCAUCUGUACACCAUUAUAAAUAGUACGUCUGUUAUAGUAUGACAGCAUGGUUUAUAAUAAAUGACCAUGACAUUUGAAGCAUCUAUGAGAGUAUAUAUGGGUUACUGGGGUGCUGAGUGGACCUAGAUGAAAGCUGGAUUUUGAUUAGGCUUCCUGUCCAUUUGAUUAAAUGGACAGGAAGCCUAACCAAUGAAAAUGUAUUUGAACCACUCCACACCAGUGCAUGUAGAAUUACCUCAUAAUCUAUACCAUAUAUAAGUGGGUAAUAUCUGCACACAACUGCACACACAUACAAACACAUAUGCACACAUGCAUGCAUGCUGCACUUGUAUCUUCAUCUUGAUGUUGUAGCUCUUUGUCAUAUCUCUUGUAAUCAUGCUUCACUUCUUACUUAUGACCUGUCGUAACUUUUCUGACUUAGCCUGUAGUUACAAUGUGAACUAGACGGUGUUCAUGGCUAUGGUUAACUGCCACUUCGUGAGAAUUGCACCUUAUCUGACCUGUGUUCUGUAGAGGUUCCAUGACCUUCGACAUGCACUUAAGUGUACAUCGCUCUGGAUAAAAGCGUCUGCCAAAUGAAAUGUAAUGUAAUGUAAUGUACACACACGGGGGCUUAGCUAGGAAUUCUGGGCUCGCUGAACAAAUAUUGCUGGGCCCCCUUUUUUUAAAUAAAACAAAUAGAUUUUUUUUUUAAAGCUGUGGGCCCCUUCAAGCUGUGGGCCCAUUA